rnacentral:rRNA from 1 species
CUACGGGAGGCAGCAGUGAGGAAUUUUGCGCAAUGGGCGAAAGCCUGACGCAGCAACGCCGCGUGAGUGAUGAAGGCCUUCGGGUCGUAAAGCUCUGUCAAGUGGGAAGAACCUAUGUAAUGUUAAUAUCAUUAUAUACUGACGGUACCACUGAAGGAAGCACCGGCUAACUCCGUGCCAGCAGCCGCGGUAAUACGGGGGGUGCAAGCGUUAUUCGGAAUCAUUGGGCGUAAAGGGCACGUAGGCGGCUUGGUAAGUCAGAUGUGAAAGCCCGGGGCUUAACCCCGGAAGUGCAUUUGAUACUGUCAGGCUUGAGUAUGGGAGAGGGAAGUGGAAUUCCUGGUGUAGAGGUGAAAUUCGUAGAUAUCAGGAGGAACACCGGUGGCGAAGGCGACUUCCUGGACCAAUACUGACGCUGAGGUGCGAAGGCGUGGGUAGCAAACAGGAUUAGAUACCCCAGUACUC